rnacentral:rRNA from 1 species
AACCAGUAAAUUAAGUUAUAUAUUUUGGUGAAAAGACAGUUAAAUAGAUAAAUAAGUUUAAAAUAGUGCUGUAUCAAGGUGUAAUUUAUAUACCACUUUAGUAUAUUGUUAACUUAUGGUUAUUGAACCUGUGAAAACUUUAAGGGAAACUGGGAUUAGAUACCCCACUAUUUUUAGAUAUAAAUAUUUACUACCAGAGUACUACGAAUAAUUAUUUAAAACUCAAAGAGCUUGGCGGUAUUUUAGACCAUUCAGGGGAACUUGUCUCAUAAUCGAAAAUCCACGAUAAACCUUACUUUUAUUAGAGUUCUCAGUUUGUAUACCGUUGUCGCCAGGUAACUUCUAAUGAAUUUAAAAGUUAGCUAAAAAAAAUUAUGUUUUUAUGUCAAAUCAAGGUGCAGCCUAUAUAAAAGAGAAGAUGAGUUACAAUUAUAUAAUUAUAAAGAUGAAUAGGAUAAAGGAAAAUUUUACUUGAAGGAGGACUUGAAAGUAAAUUUUUUAAUAUAAAAAUAAAUUGAACAAGGCUCUAAAAUGUGC